CUAUGUUGCCCAGGCUGGCUUCAAAUUCCUGGCCUCAAGCAAUCCUCCUGCCUCAGCCCCCUAAAUUGCUGGGAUUAGAAACAUGAACCAUUGUUCCUGGCUGUUAAUGUGAUUUUUAAGAGAGGGGUUAAAAAAAUCUGUUAACUUAGAAUAAAGUUUUGACAAUCCCGGUUCUGGUUAGUGCAUAAGUUUUCAUCUUUGUUUUAUAGCCAUGAAGUACAAUCAAGAAGAAAUUGAAAAACAGUCAGAGUUAGAUGAUGAGCUUCAUCGUUUGUCAUGCAGGAUUUUUAUCCCCUGAAGAACCUGCUAGAGAAGUCCACCUUCACCCUUAACCACUGGUGCCUCAACUUAAUACUUUUAAAAUUCAUUUGUUUCUGUUGGAAUUGGGAUACUAAGGCUUUGCUAUCAGGAUGAUGCUGGGCUCAUAAAAUGAGUUAGGGAGGAUUCCCUCUUUUUCUAUUGAUUGGAAUAGUUUCAGAAGGAAUGGUACCAGCUCCUCCUUGUACCUCUGGUAGAAUUAGGCUGUGAAUCCAUCUGGUCCUGGACUUUUUUUGGUUGGUAAGCUAUUAAUUAUUGCCUCAAUUUCAGAGCCUGUUAUUGGUCUAUUCAGAGAUUCAACUUCUUCUGGGUUUAGUCUUGGGAGGGUGUAUGCGUUGAGGAAUUUAUGCAUUUCUUCUAGAUUUUCUAGUUUAUUUGCAUGGAGGUGUUCACAGUAUUCUCUGAUGGUAGUUUGUAUUUCUGUGGGAUCGGUGAUGAUAUCCCCUUUAUCAUUUUUUAUUGCAUCUAUUUGAUUCUUCUCUCUUUUCUUCUUUAUUUGUCUUGCUAGCGGUCUACCAAUUUUGUUGAUCUUUUCAAAAAACCAGCUCCUGGAUUCUUUGAUUUUUUGAAGGGUUUUUUGUGUAUCUCUUUCAGUUCUGCUCUGAUCUUAGUUAUUUCUUGCCUUCUGCUAGCUUUUGAAUGUGUUUGCUCUUGCUUCUCUAGUUCUUUUAAUUGUGAUGUUAGGGUGUCAAUUUUAGAUCUUUCCUGCUUUCUCUUGUGGGCAUUUAGUGCUAUAAAUUUCCCUCUACACACUGCUUUGAAUGCGUCCCAGAGAUUCUGGUAUGUUGUGUCUUUGUUCUUGUUGGUUUCAAAGAACAUCUUUAUUUCUGCCUUCAUUUCGUUAUGUACCCAGUAGUCAUUCAGGAGCAGGUUGUUCAGUUUCCAUGUAGUUGAGUGGUUUUGAGUGAGAUUCUUAAUCCUGAGUUCUAGUUUGAUUGCACUGUGGUCUGAGAGAUAGUUUGUUAUAAUUUCUGUUCUUUUACAUUUGCUGAGGAGAGCUUUACUUCCAAGUAUGUGGUCAAUUUUGGAAUAGGUGUGGUGUGGUGCUGAAAAAAAUGUAUAUUCUGUUGAUUUGGGGUGGAGAGUUCUGUAGAUGUCUAUUAGGUCUGCUUGGUGCAGAGCUGAGUUCAAUUCCUGGAUAUCCCUGUUAACUUUCUGUCUCGUUGAUCUGUCUAAUGUUGACAGUGGGGUGUUAAAUUCUCCCAUUAUUAUUGUGUGGGAGUCUAAGUCUCUUUGUAGGUCUCUAAGGACUUGCUUUAUGAAUCUGGGUGCUCCUGUAUUGGGUGCAUAUAUAUUUAGGAUAGUUAGCUCUUCUUGUUGAAUUGAUCCCUUUAUCAUUAUGUAAUGGCCUUCUUUGUCUCUUUUGAUCUUUGUUGGUUUAAAGUCUGUUUUAUCAGAGACUAGGAUUGCAACCCCUGCCUUUUUUUGUUUUCCAUUUGCUUGGUAGAUCUUCCUCCAUCCCUUUAUUUUGAGCCUAUGUGUGUCUCUGCACAUGAGAUGGGUUUCCUGAAUACAGCACACUGAUGGGUCUUGACGCUUUAUCCAAUUUGCCAGUCUGUGUCUUUUAAUUGAUUUAAUGGUGAGAGAGAAAAAAAAAUUGCAUCUAGUUCUCUUUGCUAUCUCCCAUGAAUCAUUGCAUUUAACAUGUUAUUUCUGCUCAACUUUAGUUCAUUUUCAAUGUGCAUUUUUAGUGAUGUCAGAGUAUGUGUCAUUUAAUUAAAUCCCCGCCCUUGCUUUAGAUUUUCUGUGCAUGGGGUGUGAGGCACAUAUGCAGUCUGUGCCAUGUUGUAUUUGUUUUGUACCAUGUUGUUUGGCCUAUUUUGCUUCCAUGCUGUCCUCCAUUGUUAAGGUGAUUUGGAGUUGUUUUACUUUUGAAUUUUAUCCUUUCUGUUCUUGGUGUGACAACUUUCUAAAUAUUUCCUUAUUAAAGUAGUGAUAUAUAGAUGAUUUCCUUUUUAAAGCAUAUUUACUAUGUCCUUUAAUGUUUUAAACAGUUUUAUGGAGGUAUUUAUUGAAGUAUUUUUAUCAAACAUGACUAUUUAAAAUCCCUAUCAACUUUGUGUAGUGAUUCUUUCUUGUUCUAUGACACUUAGUAAUAUAUCUUAGAAUUUGCAUCUUAAUUUUUUUCUAACUAAAUCUCAGUCCUAAUCCCAUAUCAUUUUUUAUUUCUUUUGAUAUGUGUGUGUAUUUAUUCCCUUUGAUGUUCAUAGUAUGUUUCAUUGAGGUUCAAGGUUGAUUUUUUGGGGAAAAGAAAAAGCACCUUUGCAGAAAAGUCAGUUUUUCUAGAGCUAGUUAGGCAGGCCCUCAUUCCUGGUUUGGUUUCAAUUGCAGAGAGUUCUUGUAUCUCUGCAGGGGAAUUUCUGACUCAUGGGGUGGGUCCCUGACUCCUUACUCCUCUCUGAUUGAGUGAACCAGCAUCUGGGGCAAAUACGUAGCAGUCAGAUGCUCUGAUGAAUGUCCCUGUUCAGUUCUUUGACUUUUUUGUAUCCUCCUUAAAUAAUAAUGGUUUUAAAGAUAAGCAGAAGCCUAUCUAUAGUACUUUAUAGAUCUCAGCAGGGAUUAUUCAUCUUACAGUUAAUACAGGAAGAAACAUCUUUGAUACGGAAAGACUAGGGUGUUAAUUCAGCAAUCUCUGGUUAGGAGAAAAGUAGCCUAGUUUAUUACUUCUUCACUACUUUUGCCUGGAUGACCUGAAUUUUAAUCAAGAAGUUCUUUCCUCUCUAUAUGCGCUCCCCCAUUUUCCCACUUUUGUAUUGACUUUCCCACUAUUGUAUUUCUAAUGCACCUUCUUAAUCACUGGAGAAAGCUUUGAGGCAUGUAAGAGGUCCUAGCACCAUUUUCAGUCUUAAAGUUUCAUAGCCACCAGCUUUAUGGGACUCUAUUAUCAGGCCUUUCAAACAAAUUCUUCCCUUCCCUCACAAUCCCAAGCUAUUGAUCUUUUCUCUAAGGAAGCCUUUUGUAUUACUAAUUAAGACUAGGUGACUAUAUUAAAACAGGGUUAUCUUCUAAAAGAUUUAUAUAAAUGAUAAAACAGAGGCUAAGUAUUUUUGUAAGGACAGCAAUUUGAAGUCAGUUAAUGCCUAGAGUGACUGUUUCAUUCUUCUGCUAUGGCUCUGGUGACUUCCUGAUAAUUCUGUCCGAGCCCCUGUGUCCAGUUCCAGGACCUAAGAAUGGAAGAGCUCUGGAGGCUGAAGGUGGAAGAUGGAUCCCCCUUUCAGGGACAGUGAAAGGAGGGUUAAUCUUUCCUGAAGCUGUUAGUCUGGUAUCUAUUAGCACACAUGAGAAUUAGAAACCUUGCAACUUUAGAAAUAGUAUCUGUGUAGUAAAUGCUGUCUGUGUACCAAUUUGUAUAGCUUUUAAUAGAAAUAUCUUAUUUUUGGAUGGAAAAUGUGUGUAAGCUUGUGACUAAAAUAGUUCUGGAUGGAAGACCAUUCAGUAUCUUCUGAAAAAAAAAUUGUCUUCUGGAACUAAAACAUGAAAAAAAAACCUAUCCAUUAUUGCUUUUUUUUAAAUAAAGAAAACCAGUGCUGUGUAAUCCAUAUUUUACCAAUAUUAAUUAUGUCUUAGAACCAUUUAAGAAUGAUGGUUUACAUAUCCUAUUUUAAAGUCAAGAUUUUAAAGAGCUUUUAUUUGUUAUUACUAAUUAUUGGGAGAAUAUUGAAAAAUUUUCAAUUUAAAUGUUGAAUUAAAAAUGUAACCUUUUUGGCUGGGUGCGGUGGCUCACGCCUGUAAUCCCAGUACUUUGGGAGGCCAAGGCGGGUGGAUCACGAGGUCAGGUGUUAAAGACCAGCCUGGCCAAGAUGGUGAAACCCCAUCUCUACUAAAAAUACAAAAAUUAGCCGGGCGUGGUGGUGGGCGCCUGUAAUCCCAGCUACUCAGGAGGCUGAGGCAGGAGAAUCACUUGAGGCCGGGAGGCGGAGGUUGCAGUGAGCCGAUAACGCACCACUGCACUACAGCCUGGGUGGCAGAGCGACACUCCGUCUCAAAAAAAAGAAAAGUAACCUUUUAUAAAUAUGGGGCUGAAAACGUUAUUUUUAAAUUUUGGAAAAAGUUCUACUAGCUUGAAGAUUACUUAGAUUUAUUUUUUCUUGGCUUAUUUAGAUAUUUGGCCUAUUUUUAAAACUAUAAAUAAAUAAUUGGAUUUUAAUUUGAUAGAGAAUCAGAAAAACAGAGACUUUAUAUAAUUUUUGUUACAUUUGAAUUCAUUUUAUAAAUAUAUGUUGUAAAAAUUCUUCCAGUGCAAUAUUUUUUGGAAAAUAUUGUUCUAGUCGUUGUUUGUAUAGGUUUAUUUCUAAUUAUAUUAAAAGUAAAAUUAGAAAAAUA